GAAAUGCGAUAAGUAGUGUGAAUUGCAGAAUUUAGCGAAUCAUCGAAUCUUUGAACGCAGAUUGCGCCCCUUGGUAUUCCAUGGGGCAUGCCUGUUCGAGCGUCAUUUCAACCCUCAAGCACUGCUUGGUGUUGGGCGUUUGUCCCGCCUACGCGCGUGGACUCGCCUCAAAGUCAUUGGCGGCUGUUCCCCUUCGGCUCGUAAGCGCAGCACAGUCGGCGCCCGGAGCUCUGGUGGGAUGGCGUCCAGCAAGCUAUAUUUUCAGGCUUGACCUCGGAUCAGGUAGGGAUACCCGCUGAACUUAAGC
rnacentral:misc_RNA from 1 species